rnacentral:rRNA from 1 species
GACGUAGGGCGCGAGCGUUGUCCGGAUUUAUUGGGCGUAAAGAGCUCGUAGGCGGCUUGUUGCGUCGACUGUGAAAACCCGCGGCUUAACCGCGGGCUUGCAGUUGAUACGGGCAGGCUAGAGUUCGGUAGGGGAGACUGGAAUUUACGGUGUAGCGGUGAAAUGCGUAGAUAUCGUAAGGAAGACCAGUGGCGAAGGCGGGUCUCUGGACAGUUCCUGACGCUGAGGCACGAAGGCCAGGGGAGCAAACGGG